CAAAAUCGAAACGAUAUAAUGCUCAGUUAAUUUAAAUUUAAGUACUUUCGAGAGCAACAUUUUUUUUUUGGAAUUGUGUGCGGUGCGGUGCUUGCAAACGCCAUUUUCAACGUUUCAACGUUACGUCUCAAUACGCGACCGCAUUUCACAUGCUACCCUUUCUCUAGUUUCAUUCAACAAAACAAUUUGAUUCCGGAUAGCCGCCAGCAGCCCGCAAGAGAGCCAAACAAAAUUUCGCCCUAUUGGACAACAAUUUUUUUUUGUUUUGUUUUAUAUAUUGUUUUUGUUUUUUUUUUUUUGCAAUUUUGUGUUUUGUUCAUCCUUUGCGGAUACGUGUUGGACGUCGAGAAGGCUGUGAAGAUGGCGCGUGCAUUACAAUAAAACAGAUUACAAAAACAAGAAACUUAAGAAAGACAAAAAAUUGCACAAGAAACGCUCAAAUCAACUGACUGUGGGGGGAGGGGCUGUCGGUCGCCUAUAGCCGCAGCUAGCCAAUACUCAAACCCAAAUACCCAGCAUUCAACAAAGCCAAGCAGCAGCAGCAACAACAACAGCGAACGUCGCGACACAACAACAACAACAACAACAAAAUAGUUCUUAACAGCCGUCGCUUGUUGUCUCGCUCACUCUCUUGCCUUCGCACGACUGUGAUUUGGCGGGGGUGUUGGGCAGCGCGUGCUCAAACAAAAACAGUAAACAAGAACAACAACAAGAACAAGAACAACAACACCACAACAUAACAUUUCCGCAUUUGAAAUAUCAACAACAAGAAUUCUACAUAGAACACGUUUAGGCCGUGGCUGCCACCGUGUGAACAACAACAGCAGCACGACCACCACCAACAGAGGAGAGCAGCAACAAUAACAUAGCCAAGGACACGUACUUUAAACGUAUGUGCAGCACACACACGCGACAACCAAAUGGAUGUCCUGGAACUGCUCCGUGCGAGCGCCAACGGCUGUUACAAUACAUUAUUCUCCGAUGCCUGGUUUCAAUAUGUCUCCAAACAAAUCGCGACCACGAUGUACUGGUACGGCGCGCUGCUUGUUAUCGGCGUGCUAUUCAUCGCCUGGUUCCUGUACUUUAAGCGCCUGGCACGGCUGCGCCUGCGCGACGAGAUUGCCCGAUCGCUGAGCGCGGUGACGUCAUCGGGCGGCGAUCAUCGCGGCCUGCGCUUCCGCAAGAGGGACAAGAUGCUCUUCUAUGGCCGCCGGAUGCUGCGCAAAAUGAAGAACGUCAGCGGCCAGAUGUACAGCAGCGGCAAGGGCUAUAAGCGGCGGGCGGUGAUGCGUUUCGCGCGCCGCAUCCUGCAGCUGCAGCGCGAGAACAGGCCGCUGGAAAUGAAGACAGUGGAGCCGCCGGCCGAAUAUCUGGAGGAGACCAUCGAGGGCAGCGAUCGCGUGCCGCCGGAUGCACUCUAUAUGCUCCAGAGCAUACGCAUCUUUGGCCAUUUCGAGAAGCCCAUCUUUCUAAAGCUCUGCAAGCAUACACAGCUCCUGCAGCUGAUGGCCGGCGAUUAUCUAUUCAAGAUCACCGAUCCCGAUGACAGCGUCUACAUUGUCCAGUCGGGCAUGAUCAAUGUAUACAUUUGCAAUGCCGAUGGCAGCACCCUCUCCCUAAAAACGGUGCGCAAGGGUGAAUCUGUGACGUCGCUGCUCAGCUUCAUCGAUGUGCUCUCCGGCAAUUCCAGCUACUACAAGACCGUCACGGCCAAGGCCAUGGAGAAGUCUGUCGUCAUACGGCUGCCCAUGCAGGCCUUCGAGGAGGUGUUCGAGGAGAAUCCGGAUGUGAUGAUACGUGUAAUACAGGUGAUCAUGAUACGGCUGCAGCGCGUCCUCUUCACGGCGCUGCGCAACUAUUUGGGUCUCAAUGCGGAGCUCGUACAGAAUCAUAUGCGGACCAAGGGCAGCAGUGUGGUUCCUAAUGCGGUCGGGGGCGCGGUGCUCGCCCAGGCAUCACAGGCAUCCCGUCCGGCGGCACGGGCGCCAACAUCGCCGAACUCGCGCUUGUCGCGCGAGGAGCACACACUCUCCGAUCCGGAUCCGAAUCCGAAUGCGAAUGCCCUGCUCUUUGCCGAGGUGCACGGCGAUGCGCCGUACAUUGAUCUCUACCAUCAUCAGCAGCAGCAGUCGAGCGCCGUCUCCGUCAACCAGGCGGGCACGCGACGCAGCUCGACCACGUACGGACCGAGUGGUGAAUCGCCCAAUGGCAAUGCCAACACUGCGGCCGGCACAUCCAUUGAUCAGCGUCUGGUGCAGUCAUCUGCCGUGGACAGUCUGCGCCGUGAGCUGGGCCUCAGCGAGGAUGAUGCCCAGAUCAUUGAGCCGUUUGUUGAGGUGCGCGAACUGGAGCCGAAUGUCACACUCAUCACCGAGGGCAAUGCGGAGGAUGUUUGCGUCUGGUUUGUAAUGACCGGCACAUUGGCCGUCUAUCAGAGCAAUGCGGAUGCAACGCGUGCCACCAAACAGGACAGCAAGAACGAUGUGCUCAUCCACUUUGUGCAUCCCGGCGAAAUAGUCGGCGGCCUGGCGAUGCUCACCGGCGAGGCGAGCGCCUACACGAUCCGUGCGCGGAGCAAUAGUCGCGUGGCCUACAUACGACGCGCCGCCAUCUAUCAGAUAAUGCGUCAGCGUCCCCGCAUCGUGCUCGAUCUGGGCAAUGGGGUGGUGCGUCGCCUGUCGCCGCUGGUGCGUCAAUGCGACUAUGCGCUGGACUGGAUAUUUCUGGAGUCGGGACGGGCCGUCUAUCGGCAGGACGAGAGCAGCGACAGCACCUAUAUUGUGCUGAGCGGACGCAUGCGUUCGGUUAUUACGCAUCCGGGCGGCAAAAAGGAGAUUAUCGGCGAAUACGGCAAGGGCGAUCUGGUGGGCAUUGUCGAAAUGAUAACGGAAACCUCACGCACCACAACCGUCAUGGCCGUGCGCGACUCCGAGCUGGCCAAGCUGCCGGAGGGCCUGUUCAAUGCGAUCAAAUUGCGCUACCCGAUUGUGGUCACCAGGCUGAUCAGUUUUCUAAGCCAUCGUUUUCUUGGCUCGAUGCAGACGCGCGGCAGCAAUGCGGCCGGCGGGCCCGUUGAGGCAAAUCCCGUAACGCACAAAUAUUCAACAGUUGCCCUCGUGCCCAUCACAGACGAUGUGCCCCUGACGCCCUUCACCUACGAGCUCUACCAUUCGCUCUGUGCCAUUGGUCCUGUGCUGCGUCUGACAUCGGAGGUGGUGCGCAAACAGCUGGGCAUUAACAUCUUUGAGGCGGCCAACGAGUACCGCCUGACCUCGUGGCUGGCACAGCAGGAGGAUCGCAACAUAAUCACGCUGUACCAGUGCGACAGCUCGCUGAGUCCUUGGACACAGCGCUGUAUGCGACAGGCGGACGUGGUGCUGAUUGUGGGCCUUGGCGAACGAUCCCAUUUGGUUGGCAAGUUCGAGCGGGAGAUUGACAAGCUGGCGAUGCGCACACAGAAGGAGCUGGUCCUGCUCUAUCCCGAGACCACAAAUGCCAAGCCGGCGAACACGCUCAGCUGGCUAAAUGCACGUCCCUGGGUGACCAAGCACCAUCACGUGCUCUGCGUGAAGCGCAUCUUUACGCGCAAGAGCCAGUAUCGCAUUAACGAUCUCUACAGUCGCGUGCUGCUCUCCGAGCCCAACAUGCAUUCCGAUUUCUCGCGUCUGGCCCGCUGGCUAACUGGCAAUUCGAUUGGCCUCGUCUUGGGCGGCGGCGGUGCCCGCGGUGCUGCCCACAUUGGCAUGCUGAAGGCCAUCCAGGAGGCGGGCAUACCCAUUGACAUGGUGGGCGGCGUCAGCAUCGGCGCCCUCAUGGGCGCUCUGUGGUGCUCCGAACGUAACAUAACCACCGUCACGCAGAAGGCGCGCGAAUGGUCCAAAAAAAUGACAAAAUGGUUCCUUCAACUGCUGGACCUCACGUAUCCCAUAACAUCGAUGUUCUCCGGCCGUGAGUUCAACAAGACGAUACACGACACCUUCGGAGACGUUAGCAUCGAGGAUCUGUGGAUACCGUAUUUUACGCUCACCACAGACAUAACCGCCAGUUGCCAUCGCAUUCACACCAACGGUCAUCUGUGGCGUUAUUGUCGCGCCAGUAUGUCCAUUGCCGGCGUCUUUCCCCCCUUCUGUGACUAUCGUGACGGGCACCUGCUGCUCGAUGGAUGCUAUACGAACAAUGUGCCAGCUGAUGUUAUGCACAAUCUGGGCGCCGCGCACAUAAUUGCCAUUGAUGUGGGCUCACAGGACGACACGGAUCUGACCAACUAUGGCGACGAUCUGAGCGGCUGGUGGCUGCUUUAUAAGAAAUGGAAUCCGUUCACAUCGCCCGUCAAAGUGCCCGAUCUGCCGGACAUACAAUCCCGUCUCGCCUACGUGUCCUGUGUUCGCCAGCUAGAGGAGGUAAAAAACUCGGACUAUUGCGAGUAUAUACGGCCGCCUAUAGAUAAGUACAAGACGCUCGCCUUUGGCAGCUUCGAUGAGAUACGCGACGUGGGCUAUGUCUUUGGCAAGAACUACUUCGAUAACAUGGCCAAGGCGGGCCGUUUGGGCCGCUUCAAUCAGUGGUUCAACAAGGAGCCGCCGAAGCGCGGCAACCACGCCUCCCUCAACGAAUACACGUUCAUCGAUCUGGCGCAGAUCGUCUGCAAGCUGCCGGAGACAUAUGCCCUAAAUACGGCCGAUAUAUUCAGCGAGGAUGAGGAUUUCGAUGGCUACAUAUCGGAGCCAACAACUCUAAAUAUGGAUCGACGCCGCAUACAAGUGCCUCGGGCGGGCAACUCGCUAUCCUUCUCAGAGACUGAAAUGGACUCCGAUGUGGAGAUCGAUCUGGAGCUGGAGCGCAAGGUGGACAAGGCGACGCAAUCGACGCCGCCGACGCCAAACAAACAGCACGCACUGUCGCCGACCUCCAGCCAGGCGAACCUGCUGCCAUUGCCGGCCAACAGCAAGCCGAAGGAGAAGCAUCCCAGCUACGACAAGCUGGACAGGGAGCACAAGCGCCGACAGAAGUCCAAGCAGAAGCAGCCACAGGAAAGAUCAUCGAUGCAGCAGAGGGACAGCAUGGUCACAUUGCAUCCGGCCACAAUGGCCGAGGCGACAACGCAAACGUUGCCGCAUUCCAGCGAGGAGGAUGAGCUCAAGCAGCUGGAACAGCAGCUGAAGCAGAAGCCAGAAGAGCAGCAGAAGGAGCAGCAGGAUCAGCAGCAGGGGAAUUUAACAAAAACUGAUACCAAAAACUAGCUAUAAAUGGAAGCGCGUCUGUCUGAGAUAAAUAUAUAUACCUAUAUAUAUUAACAUGGCAGGAAUCGGAGCAGCAGCCGGAACCGGAACCAGAACUGGAGCUGGAGCUGGAGCGGAUGGAGCAAAUGGACCAUUCAGCUGGCCAACAAAAUCUCCAUUGAUUAUGUAGCAUCCCUUUGCCCAUCCUCACACACAACCCACACAGCUCCUUAUUUUUAAUUAAGAAACAAGAAGAAGAAGAACAACAACAACAGAAAAGAGGAAAGCAAGGAGAUCGUUUUUUUUUAUGGUCGAUUUUUUUUUUAAGCUGAGCAAGCAAAUAAAUGUCAACAAUUUGAAAGUACAAUCCAUAAAACGUUUUUUUUUUCCUCUAGCAAUAUUUUGUAUUAGCUUUAACUGGAAAUAUUGUUAGUUAUCUAACCAAUUUUUGAAACUAACUUUUCGGUUUUGGCUUGGAUUCGGAACAUCCCAGUUCUUUCGAUUUGGGCUGUGGCGUUGCCUGUCAGUCAGUCAAUCAGUUAGCCGGUCA